rnacentral:rRNA from 1 species
CGCGUAGGCGGGAUGGCAAGUCGGUCGUGAAAUCCUUCGGCUCAACCGAAGAACGUCGGCCGAUACUGCCGUUCUUGAGGGAUGCAGAGGAGACUGGAAUUCCCGGUGUAGCGGUGAAAUGUGUAGAGAUCGGGAGGAACACCGGUGGCGAAGGCGGGUCUCUGGGCAUCUCCUGACGCUGAGGCGCGAAAGCGUGGGGAGCAAACGGGAUUAGAUACCCCGGUAGUCCACGCCAUAAACGAUGACGACCAGGUGUGGGGUGGUUCAGUCCACUCCGUGCCGCAGCUAACGCAUUAAGUCGUCCGCCUGGGGAGUACGGCCGCAAGGUUGAA